UGCUAGUCGAGCGCUUCAAGCCAAAAAGAGGCGCGGCAUACAGCUCAGUAACACGUGGCUAAUCUGCCCUUGGGAUAGGAAUAACCCCGGGAAACUGGGGCUAAUUCCCAAUAGGCGAAGAACUCUGGAAUGAGUCUUUACCAGAAAAGACGCUUGCGUUAUGCUCGUAGGCGUCGCCCAAGGAUGAGGCCGCGACCGAUCAGGUUGUUGGUGAGGUAAUGGCUCACCAAGCCUUUUACCGGUGCGGGCCGUGAGAGCGGGAGCCCGGAGAUGGGCACUGAGACAAGGGCCCAGGCCCUACGGGGCGCAGCAGUCGCGAAAACUUUGCAAUAAGCGAAAGCUUGACAGGGCUAUCCCGAGUGCCAUCCGCUGAGGAAGGCUUUUACCCAGUCUAGAACGCUGGGGGAAUAAGGAGAGGGCAAGUCUGGUGUCAGCCGCCGCGGUAAUACCAGCUCUCCGAGUGGUGUGGAUGUUUAUUGGGCCUAAAGCAUCCGUAGCUGGCUAAGUUAGUCCCUUGUUAAAUCCACCGAAUUAAUCGUUGGAUUGCGGGGGAUACUGCUUGGCUAGGGGACGAGAGAGGCAGACGGUAUUUCCGGGGUAGGGGUGAAAUCCUAUAAUCCCGGGAAGACCACCAGUGGCGAAGGCUGUCUGCUAGAACGCGCCCGACGGUGAGGGAUGAAAGCUGGGGGAGCGAACCGGAUUAGAUACCCGGGUAGUCCCAGCUGUAAACGAUGCAGGCUAGGUGUUUGGACGGCCACGUGCCGUUCUAGUGCCGCAGGAAGCUGUUAAGCCUGCCGCCUGGGGAGUACGAUCGCAAGAUUGAAACUUAA
rnacentral:rRNA from 1 species